UUUCCCUGAAUGAAAAUAAGGCAGCUCUUGUGGAGAUGGAAGGAAUUCCAAGCAAAGCCAGAAAUUUGCAGAUGAAUUUGUUAAUGGCAAAGCUUUAUAGAAAUUCUAGACAUAAUCGAGCUGCUGUUGCAAUUUACAAAGAAUGUCUAAGGCAUUGUCCUUUCAUAA